GUAGGGUGCGAGCGUAGUCCGGAAUUACUGGGCGUAAAGAGCUCGUAGGUGGUUUGUCGCGUAGUUCGUGAAAUCUCACGGCUUAACUGUGAGCGUGCGGGCGAUACGGGCAGACUUGAGUACUGCAGGGGAGACUGGAAUUCCUGGUGUAGCGGUGGAAUGCGCAGAUAUCAGGAGGAACACCGGUGGCGAAGGCGGGUCUCUGGGCAGUAACUGACGCUGAGGAGCGAAAGCGUGGGGAGCGAACAGGAUUAGAUACCCUGGUAGUCCACGCCGUAAACGGUGGGUACUAGGUGUGGGUUUCCUUCCUUGGGAUCCGUGCCGUAGCUAACGCAUUAAGUACCCCGCCUGGGGAGUACGGCCGCAAGGCUAAAACUCAAAGAAAUUGACGGGGGCCCGCACAAGCGGCGGAGCAUGUGGAUUAAUUCGAUGCAACGCGAAGAACCUUACCUGGGUUUGACAUGCACAGGACGCCGGCAGAGAUGUCGGUUCCCUUGUGGCCUGUGUGCAGGUGGUGCAUGGCUGUCGUCAGCUCGUGUCGUGAGAUGUUGGGUUAAGUCCCGCAACGAGCGCAACCCUUGUCUCAUGUUGCCAGCGGGUAAUGCCGGGGACUCGUGAGAGACUGCCGGGGUCAACUCGGAGGAAGGUGGGGAUGACGUCAAGUCAUCAUGCCCCUUAUGUCCAGGGCUUCACACAUGCUACAAUGGCCGGUACAAAGGGCUGCGAUGCCGCGAGGUUAAGCGAAUCCUUUUAAAGCCGGUCUCAGUUCGGAUCGGGGUCUGCAACUCGACCCCGUGAAGUCGGAGUCGCUAGUAA
rnacentral:rRNA from 1 species